UUCAGCAGCCAUAUCACCCUGCAACUCACAACUGGCAACCCACUGAAGCUAAGCAAGUGUGAGCCUGGUCAGCACUUGGAUGGGAGACCUCCUAGGACAAACUAAGGUUGCUGCUGGAA
rnacentral:rRNA from 1 species